rnacentral:rRNA from 1 species
AUUGAACGCUGGCGGCAGGCUUAACACAUGCAAGUCGAGCGAGCGGCGGACGUGUGAGUAAUGUCUGGGCACCUGCCUGAUGGAGGGGGAUAACUACUGGAAACGGUAGCUAAUACCUCAUCCCAUCAGAUGUGCCCCGAUGGGAUUAGCUAGUAGGGGGGGGAAUGGCUCACCUAGGCGACGAUCCCUAGCUGGUCUGAGAGGAUGACCAGCCACACUGGAACUGAGACACGGUCCAGACUCCAACGGGAGGCAGCAGGGGGGAAUAUUGCACAAUGGGCGCAAGUCUGAUGCAGCCAUGCCGCGUGGGUGAAGAAGGCCUUCGGGUUGUAAAGCACUUUCAGCGAGGAGGCGUUACUCGCAGAAGAAGCACCGGCUAACUCCGUGCCAGCAGCCGCGGUAAUAC